UAACUUGGGUUGACAUAAAACAGUGAUACAGUUGAAUAUAUUGUAUGAAACCGACAAAAUAUUAUUAUCCAAUGCUUGUGAAGUGUACAAUGAAUCGACAACGAACUUACCUGCCGGUUAUUCGGUCUCCUGACACAGAAAACCGGCAGUGUUAGUAGCCGUCAAGGCCUAAAAACGGAUCACAGUAUGGGUAAACUUGGUCCUGCAUGAACACCUGCUGCGGCCUGGCUUCAUGUUGAUGUGUGUACACUUCAACAUCUGGACACUAGAUGGCGCACAUGACUCAGUGGUGAAACAGAUUACCGACUUGUAAUGAGACAUACAGGCAGGCUGGGUAAAAGCUGAAGAUCCACGGCAGAGUGUCUGAAGGUACAGACGCUGGAUAUUGAGGCUGGGUGCCUGGAGGGCUCGGACCAUGCUGCUCAUAAUAGAGAAAAAAAAGGUACAUCGCUCCUGUGACUGCUCCCAUCCAAACCAUACAGAGGUCAUCAUCUCUGCUGAGUAACAAUAAAGGAAGAGAACGAGGGAUACAAUGUGGAUACGAUCAGGACAGGAGAGAUAUAAAGGAGAAUGCAUUUCUUAUAUGCCUAUAUCUAAAAGGCACAUGCUCAGUUAUGAUGUUUCUCAAAGUGACCAUGAGGGAAAAUUACAGCAAGACUACCGUACAUUUGCCAGAAGAUCUGUCAUUCCCCUCCUUAAAUACAUGCUGUUUCCUGUUUACACAGGAAGUAACAAGAUUCCCUGUAGUCAAGUGUCCGCUGAAGUGUUCCAACCUGAAUGACAUUGAGCUCCUUCGACUGGCUGGUGCAAAGGGCCGACUAAAAGCUAAUCAGGCUGUAAUUCAAGAUUCGCCCAGCCACUUACAAUCAAUACUCGCACAAUCCCAAUUAAAGCUUGCCGGGUCAAUGGAGGGCCACCAAUUCCUUUACAAGUUAAAUGCAAUACUUAAAUCUAAAGCAAUCUCAGUGUGGCCUUCAAUGGUUUAAUGGCUCGUGCCAACAGGAGUGUCCAGUUAAAAGUGCAAGAAGGAUACAGCGUGGACAGGUUAUAGUGAUUAAUACUUCCUAACCCCACAAAUACGUGCACUCUUUUUAAAUAUCAUAUUAAAUGCAGGAUCUUACUUGGAAUGUAGCAUUUUUACGAGUGGAUGAAGUAUCUGAAUACUUUAUUCAGUACUGCAUUUGCUAGCUUUAGCUACUAGCUACUCAGAGGAUUCAAAAGCACCAAUUUGUGUAACUUGAUGCAUUCUUUUUGUAUAUACUUACAUUUUGUUAAAAUAAGUUAUAUUCAAUUACUAUGUGAGCUACUUUCAUAUCAUGUACAAAGAAUAUCAAUAAAAUGACUACUUUUACUGUUGA